CCCUUAGAUGUUCUGGGAAGCACGCGCGCUACAAUGGUCUUCGCAAACGGAUGCAUUCUCGAAGGAGAAUGCCAAUCUUGGAAUCUAUGCCUUGGUCGGGACAGUUGCUUGCAAUUUUUCGACUCGAACCAGGAAUUCCUUGUAAUCGUGAUUCAUCACAUCACGAUGAAUACGUCCCUGCCCUUUGUACACACCGCCCGUCGCUCCUACCGAUCGAAGAGUUAGGUGAAUUGUUUUGAUCGAUAAGAUUUGACUAUGGUCAACUCUCGUUGUGAAAUUCUGUGAAUCUGACUGUUUAGAGGAAGGAAAAGUCGUAACA
rnacentral:rRNA from 1 species